AAGGGUAGUCAACGCUAGUCCAAAAUUUUUCACGCUCUCCCUCUCAAACUCUUGCCCUAACUUCCAUCUCCCUCUCAAUUUUUUCAAUCCCUCUCAAACUCUCGCCCUAACUUCCAUCUCUCUCUCAAUUUUGUACUCUCCCUCUCAAACUCUCUCUUUCUUCUCUCUCCUCCAUCACUGCUUCUUUCUCUCUCAGAUGUUCCGACCAUGGCCGGUGCUUUCCUCAGGACUAAAGCCCAGCCACCCCUGCCCAUUCCUCAGCCGCGGCGAGCUUCAAAAGAUUUCAUGCUCAAAGAAAAAGUAGAUAUCUGGGAUUUGGGUUGACAAAAGAUUGAGUUUCGCAGCUCUUCGUCAGCACUAGAAUGGCUGUGGACCGUAUAACUCAAAGACCCAAAGGAUUCGGUUUUGUCACUUACAAGUCAGAUGUUGAGGCACAAAAAGCUUUGAAGGCCAUGAAUGGCAGGGUAAUUUCCUUC